rnacentral:rRNA from 1 species
UACAGAGGUCCCGAGCGUUGUUCGGAUUCAUUGGGCGUAAAGGGUGCGUAGGCGGCGGGGCAAGUCUGAUGUGAAAUCCUGGGGCUCAACCUCAGAACUGCAUUGGAUACUGCUUUGCUAGAGUACUGGAGAGGGAACUGGGAUUUACGGUGUAGCAGUGAAAUGCGUAGAGAUCGUAAGGAAGGCCAGUGGCGAAGGCGAGUUCCUGGACAACUCCUGACACUGAGGCACGAAAGCUAGGGGAGCAAACAGG